rnacentral:rRNA from 1 species
UACGUAGGGUGCGAGCGUUGUCCGGAAUUAUUGGGCGUAAAGGGCUCGUAGGCGGUUUGUUGCGUCGGGAGUGAAAACUCAGGGCUUAACCCUGAGCCUGCUUCCGAUACGGGCAGACUAGAGGUAUGCAGGGGAGAACGGAAUUCCUGGUGUAGCGGUGAAAUGCGCAGAUAUCAGGAGGAACACCGGUGGCGAAGGCGGGUCUCUGGGCCAUUACUGACGCUGAGGAGCGAAAGCGUGGGGAGCGAACAGG